CUAGGGGUAGUCAGAUUAGUCACGCGACUAACGUAAAAAAAAGGCAUAUAAAAAAGUUUGGACUAAGGUUUUUGAAUUUUUUUCCCAGCGCAAAAGCUUCUCUUCAUUUCUCAUCAUGCAAUCAAAACUACAUCACACUCCAGCAUAUAAACUUCGAUCAGUUUUUGCACAUUGAGCCAGCGAUUGAUUAGUCAAACGAUAAGUCAAAUAAGCGGUAUUGAAAUGAAAAUUGACUAUUCUGCAUUUUAGUUCAUGUGAUUUGAUUGGUCAAAUUUGCUCAGAUUACACAUUACAGGCAUGUUGAUUGGUCAGACCUAUUUUGACUAACGAUUGCGCAAUUUUGACUAUUUUGACUAAUCCUGCAAAUAGAUAGCAGCUUCUGAUUGGACAAUUUGCGCAAAAGAGUUAAAGAACAUCUCCUCUGAUUGGCCUUCUAAUCUUCAAUUUGGAAGCAUUGUGCACUUGGUAGCUCUGUUGCAGCUCUGUACAAUUUUACAAGCGAAUUAUUUCGCUUAAUCUUAGUAUAUUUGUUGAACUAUUUUCGAAAUAAAGAUUUCGAAAGGGUUAUAUCGUUAUUUGUUACGAUAAGGGAUGCUCUCUGGUGUUCUGUGGAGAAUAUUCAAGCCGAUAAAUUCGAUGGAUGCAAGAAAAUUGUCUUGGCCGAAACUAUGAUGUGUUGAUUUCUCGUCGUCUAAUAUAUUUUCAAGAGAUUACUAAGAGGUGUAUGGCAAUAAGGUAAAGUGGUUUGAAUUUUGAACAAUAAAUCGUUGAAUUGAACGUACGAUUUGCAUAAUUGUGCGAGGUUAUAGGUCCAAAGUUUCAUAUACUGCAUACAUAUUCAUUUUAUAUAUGUGUAUAAAAUUAAAACACCUCAAGUGGCAGAAACUUGACCUCAAAAUUUAUUUGAUCAUGUUGGAUAAAAAAUAUUUAUUGUGUACAUGCUUUAUAGAGUAUUGAUUGACUGAUAAUAGCUCUACAAAUGUACUUUAUGAAGAUAAUAAUAAUAAUAUAAUCUUUGGUUAUAUUUUUAGAUCUAAAUCAACUGGCAAUUGCCUGUAUAGCACUGUUUCCUAAGCAUUGACAGGUACCAAUGACCUAUAAAUUUGACAUUGAUAGUUUAAAUGUUUACAGUGCAAGUGUGAAAGGUCUAUACAGUAGGUCACUUUUUAUACAGUAUAAGCGAAGAAGCACUAUGGUUGAAGACUAAUUAAAUUAAAUGACUUGGCUUGGUCAUGAUGCAAAUUCACCAGGAUAUUAUUCCUAACAUACUGUAGGAAACUUUAUUAAUAAAUUUUCUGGAACAUGAGGUUAAAGUUAAAUAUAUCGGCUUGCAAAAAGACCACUCUCGCCUCCAAUAACAAUAACCUCACUCUUGUACGCAACACUGACAUGAGAAAAAACUUCCUUCGCCAUCAUCAACCAAACUUAGCCUUUCAAGAUCACCACCUUAAUUCCCAUAAUCUCCCCCUUCCCCAAACAUCCAAGCUUUGUAGACAAAAGCUGAUGCCAAAUAUCGGUCUGAUCUCAUUGAGAUGGGUCCAUUGCAUCUUGAACCAGUUAAAUUUUUCAACAGACCAGGGCUUGAAAUAACAACUGAUUACCAAUCAAUAAUCAGCAAGAAAUUGUGGAAAAGCAGGGUUUUCAACCUGAAAAGCAGGGAAAGUCAUGACUGCCAAUCACCAUGAUCAAUCACCAUGAUCGGGAAUUUUGGGAAUGUUAUUUCAGGCCCUGAUAGACAAACACCAUGUUGAUAGUACGUGUCUAUAUACAGUAUGUAAGCAUAGUGUAAGAAUAAUAGAAUACUGUGUUAAAAACCUUGCCAAUUAUUUCAGAUAACUAGAUAAG